rnacentral:rRNA from 1 species
UGAGCAAUCUGCCCUUCUCAUCGGAAUAAGCGUUGGAAACGACGUCUAAUGCCGAAUACGACCUCCUUUCGCAUGAUCGGAGGUGGAAAGCUCCGGCGGAGAAGGAUGGGCUCGCGGCCUAUCAGCUAGUUGGUGUGGGUAAUGGCCCACCAAGGCGACGACGGGUAGCCGGCCUGAGAGGGUGACCCGGCCACACGUGGGACUGAGACACGGCCCAGACCUCCGUACGGGAGNAGCG